rnacentral:rRNA from 1 species
GUCUUUUUGAAUUUAAUAUAAAGUCUAAUCUGCCCAUUGAUAAAUAAUUUAACGGCCGCAGUAUUUUAACUGUGCAAUGGUAGCAUAAUCAUUAGUUUUUUAAUUGAAAGCUUGUAUGAAUGAUUGAACGAGAUAUAAGCGGUCUCAUAUAAAUUUUAUAGAAUUUAACUUUUUAGUAAAAAGGCUAAAUUAAUUUUAAAAGACGAGAAGACCCUAUAGAUCUUAAUUUUUAAAAAAAUUAAAAAAGAUAGUUAUUUUUAAAUUUAAUGUUUUUAAAAAUUUUAUUGGGGCGAUAUUGAAAUUUAAAAAACUUACAAUUAUUUAAAUCCAUAAAUUAAUGUAUUUAUGACCUUUUAUUAAAGAUUAAAAAUUUAAGUUACCUUAGGGAUAACAGCGUAAUUAUUUUAGAGAGUUCUUAUUAAUAAAAUAGUUUGCGACCUCGAUGUUGGAUUAGAGAUUAAUUUUGGGUGUAGAAGCUUAAAGUAUUAAGUCUGUUCGACUUUUAAUUUCUU